GCCCGGGUGGCGGAAUGGCAGACGCGGGGGACUCAAAAUCCCUUGUCCGAGAGGGCGUGCGGGUUCGAGUCCCGCCCCGGGCA
rnacentral:tRNA from 1 species